AUCCUUCAAUAAAUUCCGAGGGGGGUGCUUGGAGAAUGAAGACAUCUGUCGGAUCCCAAGUAAACCCUUUGAAAAUAUUUCGCGCAAACUUGAUGCCGUGCAGACGCAAACUUGACGUGUAGAGUGUAGACCGAAAAGGUAAUCAUAAGUCAUAACAACUCAGAACAGCAGGACGAAUUGAACAAGAAACUGGAAGAAGUAAGCAAUAAAACGAUUCAUUCAAUAUCCGAAACGCAAGAAUUGAUCCAGCAACUGACGGCCUACACAUGUCAACAAAUGUUGGAGGAGACAACGACCAAAAUGGAGAAUCUUUGUAAUCAGUUGUCGAUUAAGAAUGAACACAAUAGAAAUUUUGACAGAAAGACUCGCAAAGCAGAAUACAUAUUAGCUGGCCAAGAGACCUCUCAGCGAUUAAUAUGCUGAUUUGGAAAAACAAAUUGCUUAUCUUAAGUUUCAGUUGUCUGAAAAGGCUAUUGAACUCCAGUGCAAGGAAAGGAAGAUUGAGGAAACUGAGAAUGCCUUGAAAGACUUGUCGCUACAUUCUCAUAGCAAUGAACAGUUGACCAUUGUCGAAGAAAGCAAUCGCGAACUUUAGGGAAAAUUUGAUGAAAAGGCCCAGGAACUUGAAGCUGCUCUUGUUUGUCGAGAGAAUUCGCAGCGAUUAAAAGCCGAUCUCGAUAAGUCAAAGUCAAUAGAACUACAGUAGAGCGGAUGGAAGAAAUGGAGAGAGCCUUAGAUGAAUUGACACUAAAGUCUCUUAACACUGAGCGGGCAGAAUCCUGCCGAUCAGAAGUGGACAACUGGACAUGCCGAGACAAAAAGAAAAGUUGGAGAUAGACGCUUU
rnacentral:lncRNA from 1 species